ACAUCCUCUCCUCUGUUUCCACCUGCGGGAAACAGAGGUGCUGCAGCUCUAGCUGCAGCUGCUGCCUCUCUCUCUCUCCUCUCCAUUUUCCCUCACUUCUUCUUCUUCUUCUUCUUCUUUUCUUCUCUUCUCCCUCAACUUCUCUUCUUCUUCUCCCCAAGAAACACAGAGAGCGUGGGAGGUGGUGGGAUAAAACCGAAAUUUUCGGUUUUCUUUAUUUUUUUUACUUUUUACAACUUAACAGUUUAGUCCUUGAAAUUUCUAUUUUUGCAUAAAGGUCCUCCAAUUUACAUAUAAAUCUUUAUUAAUAAUUUUCAAAAGUGAGGGAUAUUACACUCUCCCCUCCUUAAAAGAAAAUUUAGUCCUUUAAAUUGAUCAUAGCUCAAUCGAUGAAAAGAUGAGGAUUAUGAUUUCUUUAUUUCCUCCUGGUACUCUCAAAUAAUUUUAUUAAUACAAUACAAUUAUACAAUUAUCGAAGAGUGGCCGAAAUAUUCUCCUCCUUGAUCCUCAAUAGAUGAUAACCCGACAUUCAAACAAUCUUUGAAAAUACCUAUGUACCGUGCAGUUAAUCAAAUAAGUCGUCACUUUAGAGAAUACUCGUUUUUUGAUGAUUACCUGAUUCAACUUUCUAUAAUCAAUACAAAUCCUCAAUGUUCCAUCCAUCUUUUUAACUAACACCGGAGCACCCCAUGAUGAAAUAUUAAGUCAAAUAAAAUCCUUAUUUAAUAGUCCUUUUAGUUUCUUUUCUAAUUCCACUUACUCAAAUGAUAUCAUUGUGUAGAGAGGCUUAGAUAUUGGGAUUAUCCCAAGGACCAAAUCAAAAGCAAAGUCACGUUUGGAUGUAAUCCAAACAAGUCAUCCUGGGAUACAUUAGACAAGGAGAUAAAUCAUGUCCAAUACUCUCAAAAUAAAAGAUCGAUUGAUCAAAUAUGCAAAAAGUGAUCAUUUGUUAUAUACCAAUCCAUACUUGUAUGAUAGGAAGAUAGCCAAUCCAUACCAAGUAUAAUAUCAAAACUCCAAAUCUCUAGGAGAACUAAAUCAGCAAAAAAAAUUCAAGUUCUCCAAUAAAAUCAGACAAGAGGACCAGAUUCAAGUUCGUUAUCAAAGAAUCUCCAAUGAUCGUAUUUACAUAUAGCACAUAAUGUAGUGGUCUAGGUUGAAUACCCAAGUGAUAAGCAAAAUAUUACGAAUCAAAUCGUAGAUGGGACCCAUGGUCAAACAAAUAUUUGUAUUCUUUCAUAAACAUGCAUAAUACCUUCGAUCACUAAUUCAGAAGUUUUAGAAUCAUAUUCAGUGAUAGCAUACACUCUGAAAUGGGCUGAUGAUUUAUAAGGCAGUGACCUUUUCUUCUUGUUCAAAGGGCAGUCUUUUAUUUUAUGAUCCAACUUUCUACAAGCAAAAUAGACUCCAGUCACCUAGAAACACAAAUUUGUUUCAUAAUUUAACUUUAAUUCACACAUGAUAGAGUCUUUUAUGGUGACUUCUCAUUUCAAAUCCAAAUGUUUUGACCCUCUUGUUAUUACUUUCUGAUUCAUUUCCAAUCAUAUUUGUAUUGGUAAACUUUUCCUUAUCAUUCUUACCACCGAUCUACAAAAAUUCUUUUUAUUAUUGCCAUUAAUGAUCAACCUCUACUUCCACUAUAAGGUAGCAAAAGAAAUCUUAUGAUCAUCAGAACAAUUUUGUACAUCAAAUAUCUUCUUCGUUUGCAUCAUCCAUUUUUCUACCACCAAUGAAAUUAGGCCCACCAUACUUUCAUUGCGCUACUCUGAUUUAGUAUUCUCGAUCAAUACUUUCAUCCCCCUUAAUUAAUCAGAAACAAAUGAAAUAGGAGGACCAAAUGUCCUCAUCAUCCCAGAUUCCUAAAAUGCAUCAAAGAAAAUUUCCACCGAUCAGUAUAGUUCACUAGACCUCGAUAUAUUUUGCACGUCAACAUAUUAAAUAUUUCAAUGAUCCACAAACCUUGCUCUGAUACCACCUUUGUCACGCCCCUCAAAUAAUAUCGAUGAUUUUAAAAUUUUCAUCACAAACCAAUCCAGGAUCCAAACACACAUUUGAGGACACUAAAAGACAUUAUAUCAAAUUCACAUCUAUAAAACCUGUGCAGUUUAUAAUCAUAUAUCACAUCACCCGAUAAUUCACAUUUAUGGUAAUCCCAAGCCAACUUCACAAACAUGAACAACAUUUAUAAAUCCACAAGCUAAAUAAAUUAUACAAUCAGAACUCCAACUCUUCACCACAAGUUCAUAUCAUCAUAAAUUAGACUUAACA
rnacentral:lncRNA from 1 species